UCGGGAAUUUUGGGCAAUGGGGGAAACCCUGACCCAGCAACGCCGCGUGAAGGAUGAAGUAUUUCGGUAUGUAAACUUCGAAAGAAUAGGAAGAAUAAAUGACGGUACUAUUUAUAAGGUCCGGCUAACUACGUGCCAGCAGCCGCGGUAAUACGUAGGGACCAAGCGUUGUUCGGAUUUACUGGGCGUAAAGGGCGCGUAGGCGGCAAUUCAAGUCAUCUGUGAAAUCUCCGGGCUUAACUCGGAACGGUCAGAUGAUACUGCUUUGCUAGAGUGCAGAAGGGGCAAUCGGAAUUCUUGGUGUAGCGGUGAAAUGCGUAGAUAUCAAGAGGAACACCUGAGGUGAAGACGGGUUGCUGGGCUGACACUGACGCUGAGGCGCGAAAGCCAGGGGAGCAAA
rnacentral:rRNA from 1 species